rnacentral:rRNA from 1 species
UAACAAGGAUUCCCCUAGUAACUGCGAGUGAAGAGGGAAAAGCUCAAAUUUAAAAUCUGGCGGUUUUGUCGCCCGAGUUGUAAUCUGGAGAAGCGUUUUCCGCGCCGGACCGUGUACAAGUCUCUUGGAACAGAGUGUCAUAGAGGGUGAGAAUCCCGUCCAUGACACGGACUCCCGGUGCUUUGUGAUACGCUCUCGAAGAGUCGAGUUGUUUGGGAAUGCAGCUCAAAAUGGGUGGUAAGCUCCAUCUAAAGCUAAAUAUUGGCGAGAGACCGAUAGCGAACAAGUACCGUGAGGGAAAGAUGAAAAGCACUUUGGAAAGAGAGUAAAACAGUACGUGAAAUUGUUGAAAGGGAAACGCUUGAAGUCAGUCGCAUCUUACUUGACUCAGCCUUGCUUCGGCUUGGUGUAUUUCAAGUAGGAUGGGUCAACAUCGAUUUUGACCGGCGGACAAGGGGUGAAGGAAUGUGGCACUCUUCGGAGUGUGUUAUAACCUUUUCUCAUAUACGUCGGUUGGGAUUGAGGCCCGCAGCGCGCCCUUGUGGCCGGAGGUUCGCCUCACGUAACGCGCUUAGGAUGUUGGCAUAAUGGCUUUAAGCGACCCGUCUUGAAACACGGACCAAGGAGUCUAACAUGCUCGCGAGUGUUAGGGUGGAAAACCCUUGCGCGUAAUGAAAGUGAAAGUUGAGAACCUCCGCAAGGGGGAGCAUCGACGCCCGGCCCUGAAGUUUACUGACGGUGCUGCGGUAGAGCGCGUAUGUUGGGACCCGAAAGAUGGUGAACUAUGCCUGAAUAGGGCGAAGCCAGAGGAAACUCUGGUGGAGGCUCGUAGCGAUUCUGACGUGCAAAUCGAUCGUCAAAUUUGGG